UACGUAGGGGGCAAGCGUUAUCCGGAUUUACUGGGUGUAAAGGGAGUGUAGGUGGCAUGGCAAGUCAGAAGUGAAAGCCCAGGGCUCAACCCCGGGACUGCUUUUGAAACUGCCAAGCUAGAGUGCAGGAGAGGUAAGUGGAAUUCCUAGUGUAGCGGUGAAAUGCGUAGAUAUUAGGAGGAACAUCAGUGGCGAAGGCGGCUUACUGGACUGUAACUGACACUGAGGCUCGAAAGCGUGGGGAGCAAACAGG
rnacentral:rRNA from 1 species